GCCUAGCUAGCUUAGUCUUUAGAGCAUGAGACUCUGAAUCUGAGGGUCGGGGGUUCGAGCCCCCCGUUGGGCG
rnacentral:tRNA from 1 species